UACGAAGGGGGCUAGCGUUGUUCGGAAUUACUGGGCGUAAAGCGCACGUAGGCGGACUAUUAAGUCAGGGGUGAAAUCCCGGAGCUCAACUCCGGAACUGUCCUUGAUACUGGUAGCCUAGAGAUCGGAAGAGGUGAGUGGAAUUCCCAGUGUAGAGGUGAAAUUCGUAGAUAUUGGGAAGAACACCAGUGGCGAAGGCGGCUCACUGGUCCGAUACUGACGCUGAGGUGCGAAAGCGUGGGGAGCAAACAGG
rnacentral:rRNA from 1 species